GCGCUGCAUUAGCUAGUUGGUAAGGUAACGGCUUACCAAGGCAACGAUGCAUAGCCGACCUGAGAGGGUGAUCGGCCACACUGGAACUGAGACACGGUCCAGACUCCUACGGGAGGCAGCAGUAGGGAAUCUUCCGCAAUGGGCGAAAGCCUGACGGAGCAACGCCGCGUGAGUGAUGAAGGUCUUCGGAUCGUAAAACUCUGUUAUUAGGGAAGAACAUAUGUGUAAGUAACUGUGCACAUCUUGACGGUACCUAAUCAGAAAGCCACGGCUAACUACGUGCCAGCAGCCGCGGUAAUACGUAGGUGGCAAGCGUUAUCCGGAAUUAUUGGGCGUAAAGCGCGCGUAGGCGGUUUUUUAAGUCUGAUGUGAAAGCCCACGGCUCAACCGUGGAGGGUCAUUGGAAACUGGAAAACUUGAGUGCAGAAGAGGAAAGUGGAAUUCCAUGUGUAGCGGUGAAAUGCGCAGAGAUAUGGAGGAACACCAGUGGCGAAGGCGACUUUCUGGUCUGUAACUGACGCUGAUGUGCGAAAGCGUGGGGAUCAAACAGGAUUAGAUACCCUGGUA
rnacentral:rRNA from 1 species